rnacentral:rRNA from 1 species
UACGUAGGGUGCAAGCGUUAAUCGGAAUUACUGGGCGUAAAGCGUGCGCAGGCGGUUGGGCAAGACAGAUGUGAAAUCCCCGGGCUUAACCUGGGAACUGCAUUUGUGACUGCAUCGCUGGAGUGCGGCAGAGGGGGAUGGAAUUCCGCGUGUAGCAGUGAAAUGCGUAGAUAUGCGGAGGAACACCGAUGGCGAAGGCAAUCCCCUGGGCCUGCACUGACGCUCAUGCACGAAAGCGUGGGGAGCAAACAGG